AGCCUCAUUCCAGAUGAGAAUGGGCACAGUUGAUCAUGGUGUCCAGAAUUGCUAAUGUGGCUAAACUGAGACACAGGUUAUGCUUCCAUCACUGUAAAUUUAUUGCAGUGGUGACAAUGAGACUGUAACAUAU
rnacentral:snoRNA from 1 species